rnacentral:rRNA from 1 species
UACGUAGGGGCUAGCGUUAUCCGGAAUUACUGGGCGUAAAGGGUGCGUAGGUGGUUUCUUAAGUCAGAGGUGAAAGGCUACGGCUCAACCGUAGUAAGCCUUUGAAACUGGGAAACUUGAGUGCAGGAGAGGAGAGUGGAAUUCCUAGUGUAGCGGUGAAAUGCGUAGAUAUUAGGAGGAACACCCGUGGCGAAGGCGGCUUCCUGGCCAUAUCCUGACGCUGAGGUGCGAAAGCUAGGGUAGCGAACGGGAUUAGAUACCCCGGUAGUCCCUGAGCGGGCUGGCAA